rfam:Jonesia denitrificans DSM 20603, complete genome.
GCGCCAUUAGCUCAAUAGGCAGAGCAGCUGACUCUUAAUCAGCGGGUUCGGGGUUCGAGUCCCUGAUGGCGCA